rnacentral:sRNA from 1 species
UUGGGCGGCUGCGGUCUGCGCGGACCCCGGUGCCUAGGCGCUCCUGUGCCUCCAGUGCGCGGAGCCGGCCUCGCUCGGGCGUGUUCCUGCGCCGACCGGACGGCCGGACUCCAGCGCCUUGGCCCGGCCCGCGAACGCUGAGCACGCGCGGAAACCCUUUAAAGGAAGUGAAAUCAAAUGGAUGUUGGUGAGUACCCUACGGCAACCAUUGCUUCAUUUCAUGGUUCAGAGUGAACUCUAAUCUGGAAGCCUUCCUUAGGUCAUUCCUGCUUCUGGGAUCCAACUCUAUGUUGUGCUUAAGAAAUGUGUCACAUCAGACAGAGUGAAUCACAAGACAGAGAUAUUUACCUAUCACAUAAGUAUUUUAUUAGAUUUCAAGAUGACCAUAUAUACUUGGACGUAUCUGGACUUCAAAUUUGCUGGAACUUAGUUGCGUCCCAAGCUGGCUAAUACCUAGAGAUUCAUCAUUUCUGUUUGGAGGAAUGAAGAGGAACAGUUUAUCUGUUGGGAAUAAAAUUGUCCAGUUGUCAGGAGCAGCGAAACAGCCAAAAGUUGGAUUCUACUCUUCUCUCAACCAGACUCAUACGCA